GACCAACGCUGGCGGCGUGCAUGAGACAUGCAAGUCGAACGGACACUCAGGGCUUGCUCUGUGUGUUAGUGUCGGACGGCUGAGUAACGCGUAGGUGACCUGCCCCGAAGUGGGGAAUAACUGCCCGAAAGGGUGGCUAAUACCGCAUGUGGUGAUGCGUUCAUUCGCAUCAGUAAAGCCGCAAGGCGCUUCGGGAGGGGCCUGCGUCCGAUUAGCUCGUUGGUGGGGUAACGGCUCACCAAGGCGACGAUCGGUAGGUGGUCUGAGAGGACGAUCACCCAGACUGGGACUGAGACACGGCCCAGACUCCUACGAGAGGCAGCAGUCGGGAAUUUUGCGCAAUGGACGAAAGUCUGACGCAGCAACGCCGCGUGAGGGAUGACGGCCUUCGGGUUGUAAACCUCUUUUGUCAGGGACGAUGAUGACGGUACCUGACGAAUAAGCCACGGCUAACUACGUGCCAGCCGCCGCGGUAAAAC
rnacentral:rRNA from 1 species